AAUCAAGGUUCAAGUUUAGGAACAAAGUUUUAUUGGGAAUGUAUAUGCAAAUGUUAGUGUUUUAACAUUCAUCCUAACAAGCAUUUCUAUAGAGUGAGUGCUUCUCUCAUCCAUACAAAGGCAUUCCAAAGGGAUAUUAUGUAAAACUUCAUAGAAGACAGAUUGCAUAAAAUAUAAGCAAAUGUAAGAGAAGUACAUGUUACACAAAUUAAGGGUUUAACCUUAAUCUCUAAUUUAAGUUUUAGCCUAGGUAAUUAAUUAAUGUUGUAUUGAUCCUUGUGUUUGUAUGAUUGUAGAGACCGUCCUGGAGUGUUUGUGCCGCCUGAUUUCUGGGACUACACACCAAUCUCUCUGGCUGACCAUGCAAUAAGUAUUUUGCAAUUACAUCUGUUUGGUCAUAAUCCAUGCAGGCCGAAGAAACUGAGAUACUUAUGAGGACAUAAACUUUGCACGCAAGAACCUGGAAAGUCCUGAAGGUGCAGUGC